AUUGAACGCUGGCGGAAUGCUUUACACAUGCAAGUCGAACGGUAGAGGGGGCAACCCCUUGAGAGUGGCGAACGGGUGAGUAAUAUAUCGGAACGUGCCCAGUCGUGGGGGAUAACGUAGUGAAAAUUACGCUAAUACCGCAUACGAUCUAAGGAUGAAAGCGGGGGAUCGCAAGACCUCGCGCGAUUGGAGCGGCCGAUAUCAGAUUAGGUAGUUGGUAGGGUAAAGGCCUACCAAGCCAACGAUCUGUAGCUGGUCUGAGAGGACGACCAGCCACACUGGAACUGAGACACGGUCCAGACUCCUACGGGAGGCAGCAGUGGGGAAUUUUGGACAAUGGGCGAAAGCCUGAUCCAGCCAUUCCGCGUGCAGGAUGAAGGCCCUCGGGUUGUAAACUGCUUUUGUACAGAACGAAAAGGUCUCUAUUAAUACUAGGGGCUCAUGACGGUACUGUAAGAAUAAGCACCGGCUAACUACGUGCCAGCCGCCGCCGUAA
rnacentral:rRNA from 1 species